rnacentral:rRNA from 1 species
CAGAGGUGGCAAGCGUUGUUCGGAAUUACUGGGCGUAAAGGGCGCGUAGGCGGCCUUCUAAGUCAGACGUGAAAUCCCCAGGCUUAACUUGGGAACUGCGUCUGAUACUGGAGGGCUCGAGUGCGGGAGAGGGAUGUGGAAUUCCAGGUGUAGCGGUGAAAUGCGUAGAUAUCUGGAGGAACACCGGUGGCGAAGGCGGCAUCCUGGACCGACACUGACGCUGAGGCGCGAAAGCUAGGGGAGCAAACGGGAUUAGAUACCCCGGUAGUCCUAGCCCUAAACGAUGAGUGCUUGGUGUGGCGGGUAUCGAUCCCUGCCGUGCCGAAGCUAACGCAUUAAGCACUCCGCCUGGGGAGUACGGUCGCAAGGCUG